AUUGAACGCUGGCGGCAUGCUUUACACAUGCAAGUCGAACGGUAACAGGCCGCAAGGUGCUGACGAGUGGCGAACGGGUGCGUAAUGCAUCGGAACGUGCCCAGUCGUGGGGGAUAACUACUCGAAAGAGUAGCUAAUACCGCAUACGACCUAUGGAUGAAAGCGGGGGACCGUAAGGCCUCGCGCGAUUGGAGCGGCUGAUGUCAGAUUAGGUAGUUGGUGGGGUAAAGGCUCACCAAGCCAACGAUCUGUAGCUGGUCUGAGAGGACAACCAGCCACACUGGGACUGAGACACGGCCCAGACUCCUACGGGAGGCAGCAGUGGGGAAUUUUGGACAAUGGGCGCAUGCCUGAUCCAGCAAUGCCGCGUGCAGGAAGAAGGCCUUCGGGUUGUAAACUGCUUUUGUACGGAACGAAACGGCUCUGGUUAAUACCCGGGGCUAAUGACGGUACCGUAAGAAUAAGCACCGGCUAACUACGUG
rnacentral:rRNA from 1 species